GCCACAUUGUUUUAGCGUUUAGUGAGGUACACAGUUAUAGUUGUUGUGUUAAAAUAUUUUCGAAAUAUCAUUCAAGUUUUAAAUGCCAAACAACUAUAUCUACGAAAAGGCGAUAUUGAAUAUGUCCCGACUUUUAAAUUAUUUGUGGAGUUGGAUAUAUCCACAACCAUGGCGGCAAUCUUCAACCUGGGACAUAGAGACUUUGAAAAAAGAAGUAAUGGAAGAAGACGAAGAAAAGCAUAUCAAUUUGUUGAUUCUAGGUCCACAUGGAGCAGGAAAAUCCAGCUUUAUCAAUUCCAUCAUGAGUAUUGAUAAAAAUCGGCAUUAUGGCAUGGACCCAACAUAUUUCUUUACAAAAGCAUGUUGGACAAAAAA